CUGGGAUGAAGAUGAUAUCCGUCCUACCUCUGGCGUCACGCCCUGCUGGGGGACGGCAAACUUGCAGUCUGUUCAAGAAAGUCGUGUCCGGAAGCAUAGGAAGGGAGCUUUUGACCCAACCUGAGACUCUGGCAGUGGAGUUUUCGGAUAGACUAUUCGGGUCAAAACCGGGACUUGCAGAGAGAGGAUGAAUGAAAGGAAAAUUAUAAAUAGACGGUGUCUAUUUAUAUAGCAUCAUGUAAGUUGUCAUUUUAAAAGUUACAUUUUACGGUUUAAUCUUGUUUUCGUUUCUAAUCACAAAUGGACGGGAGCACCUAAGUUCUUAAUAGGAUCUACAUGUAUGGAUGUGAGAGUUGGACUGUGAAGAAGGCUGAGCGCCGAAGAAUUGAUGCUUUUGAACUGUGGUGUUGGAGAAGACUCUUGAGAGUCCCUUGGACUGCAAGGAGAUCCAACCAGUCCAUUCUGAAGGAGAUCAGCCCUGGGUGUUCUUUGGAAGGAAUGAUGCUGAAGCUGAAACUCCAGUACUUUGGCCACCUCAUGCGAAGAGUUGAUUCAUUGGAAAAGACUGAUGCUGGGAGGGAUUGGGGGCAGGAGGAGAAGGGGACGACAGAGGAUGAGAUCGCUGGAUGGCAUCACGGACUCGAUGGACUGGUCAUGUAUGGAUGUGAGAGUUGGACUGUGAAGAAGGCUGAGCGCCGAAGAAUUGUUGCUUUUGAACUGUGGUGUUGGAGAAGACUCUUGAGAGUCCCUUGGACUGCAAGGAGAUCCAACCAGUCCAUUCUGAAGGAGAUCAGCCCUGGGAUUUCUUUGGAAGGAAUGAUGCUAAAGCUGAAACUCCAGUACUUUGGCCACCUCAUGCGAAGAGUUGAC
ensembl:lncRNA